GCCCCUGUGGCUUAGUCCGGUUAGAGCAGUCGGCUGUUAACCGACGGAUCAAGAGUUCGAAUCUCUUCGGGGGCG
rnacentral:tRNA from 1 species